CUUUCCAGUUUCCAUUCAACUAAGCCCGGUGGAGGGGAGGAUGUUCUCAUAACUGCUGCAGAUAUGUAGACAUGUGGCAGGUAAGCUUGUCUGCAAACUUGAGUAACAGAAGCGCAGCUGAGUGAGCAGAGAGUAUUGACACCAUUCCCUCCCACUAAUUUCUCCAGUCUUACAAAGUUUUCUUUGUUUUGGCUCUUACUCUAUUGAAUCUCAGGAAUAAGCUGGGGAAGGGAAAUACUGGGAAAGUAAUUGUAUGUGUGGAAGUGUCUGUGUAGUAAAUCAAAAACUUCUUGAUGGCAUUUUAAACUAUGUUCACCUCCAGAUAUAUCUGAUUAUUUUGUUGUUUGUAAUCACUGCUCUUUUAAAAAUAUUGUUUGUUGCAUGGUUGUUAAAAUACAAAACAUACUUUUACAAAUAUUAAAUUGUUUGCUGUCAAAUGAAUGAUGUUCUUCUGUUUUAAUAUAGACUAGAACCAGCUGAAGAACGUAACACUGUACCAUGUUUCGCAAUGUCCUAGGAAAAACCUUUCGAUUUCUUGGGUAUACUGUGCAAUAUGGCUGCAUAGCACAUUGUGCCUUUGAGUACCUUGGAGGAAUUGUUGUGUGUUCUGGACCAUCAAUGGAGCCAACAAUUCAAAAUUCUGAUAUUGUCUUUUCGGAGAAUCUUAGCCGCCACUUUUAUUGCAUUCGAAAAGGAGAUAUUGUAAUUGUGAAAAGCCCAAAUGACCCCAAAUCAAAUAUCUGUAAAAGAGUAAUUGGCUUGGAAGGGGAUAAAGUCUGCACAAGCAACCCUUCAGAUUUCCUUAAGAGUCACAGCUAUAGCCUGUUUGACCAUUACCUCUGUUCAGCAUCUUGUGGAGACAUCAAGUUAUGCACAGUUGUUUUGAGUCUUAAAGUUGUUAUUUUGCCUUCUUACCACCUCAUCGUCAUAAUUAGUGUGAGAACAAAUCUCUGCUUUCAUCUGUCCUGUAGAUAAUCUUGUACUGUAAAGGUGCCUAAAGGACAUGUUUGGUUAGAAGGUGAUAAUCUCAGGAAUUCUACAGAUUCCAGGUGUUAUGGACCUGUUCCUUAUGGACUGAUAAGAGGACGCAUUUGUUUUAAGGGGAUAAAUCAUGGAGACUGAAAUACUAAAUCCUGGCACUGUGCUUCCUCUUUCAAGCUGAGGAAAUUGCUUUUGCACUCCACACAGAACACGGCAAAGGCUCCUACUAUGCUGCAGCUGUUCCAUGAACUCUGUGGAAGAGGAACUUGCUGUUGCUGCAAGAUAUGGCCUCUGAAUGACUUUGGAUUUCUACGUACAAGCCCUAAUGGCCAUAGAUUUCUUGAUGAUUAAAAUAAUUAGUGACUAUUGUCAGCUUUCAUACUACUUUCUACUAAAUCAAUGGAACUAUUUUUGCUUAGAAUAAAUACAAGUAUUACCUGA